rnacentral:lncRNA from 1 species
UUUUUUUUUUGGUCUUCGUAGGGCCACACCCUCAGCAUAUGGAGGAUGCCAGAUCCUUAACCCAGUGAGCAAGGCCAGGGAUUGAACCUAUGUCCUCAUGGAUACCAGUUGGGUUCAUUACUGCUGAGCCACAAUGGGAACUCCCCAUAAUAGUUUCUACCUCUUCAUCCUCUACCCCUAUCCUGCCCCUCCCCCAAGACCCUCUACCCACUGGUAACGACUGGUUGGUUCCCUUUACCCAUUAGUCUGAUUGGAUUUGACUAGAAAGCUCAUUGGUGCAGAUAGGAAGAAUGUACUAACAGAGAGGGCCAGUGAAGAGGUUGGUCCAGAUUAGGGCCCACGCUGGGGGGUGGCAGUAGGAAUGGGGAGGAUUGCUCUGGUUGACUAACCUCUACUCACAUUUUAAGGCUCAGCACAGACAGCAGCUCAAUGGACCUUCAGUCUUAGGAGCUCUUCCUCUGGCGCCCUGAAACCCUUCUCCCAUAGCCAUAAGCACGGGCAGAGUUUGGUGGUGGUUAACAGCAAUAGUUUAGCUGGCUUUAAAGCUUUUUAAGCCAUUGCUUCUUGCCUGAACUGCUGACUAGUUGUGUGACCUUAGGCCAAUUGCUUAUUUGCUCUGUUGCCUAGGUUACCUUAUCUAUGAAGUAAAGAUAAUAAUAGUACCUAUCCUUUAGGGUUAUUGUGAUGAUUAAACGACUUAAUGAGUUUAAAGCACUUACACAGUGUCUAGCUGUGAUUAAGUGUGCAAUAAAAGUGGGUUUUAUUACCAUCACACCACUCUGCUGCAGGGGAAUCGCGUGUUUACGGUUCUGUCUGACCAAUCUGGAAGCUUCUUGGGGAUAGGUCUCCUUGGGAGUUCCCGUCAUGGCUCAGUGGUUAAUGAAUCUGACUAGGAACCAUGAGGUUGCGGGUUUGAUCCUUGGCCUCGCUCAUUGGGUUAAGGAUCUCGCGUGGCUGUGGCACAGGCCGGCAGCUACAGCUUGGAUUCAACCCCUAACCUGGGAACCUCCAUAUGCCGUGGGUGCGGCCCUAGAGAAAGACAAAAAAAAAAAAAGACAAAAGAUCCAUUUAGGAAUUAAAUCAUGAAUCCUUGGGGGACUAACUGGACAUGAAGGAGAGGGUUCAUGAGGAGAAUAAAAUCAUUCCCAGGUUCUGGGACAGGAGGGUGAUGGGGAUGCCAUGGCUGAGACAGGGAGUUUGGGAGAAGGAGUUGGUUCAGAGGAUAAGUGGCUAAUCUGUCCAAGAUCAAAUCUAUAGGAACUAAUGAAGCUGAGCUUGGAACCCAGGUCUGUUCACAUUCCAUAGACAGUUUAUAUAACCUGCAUGUCUACACCUGGCACGGUACCUAACACAGUGGGUGUUUAAUAAUAUAUACCAGAUGAGCUUGUGAAUGCUUGAAUGAAUGGAUUUCUUUGGUAGAUGCCAGGGUAUCAGGGUUGCUUUUAUUUUAUGGCCAAACAGAGGUCUGUAGAGGUGGAGGGGGUGGGGCGGAAGAAAAACAGAAAGAAGAAAAGAAAGUCACCAUGAAAAAUUAAUGAAGGAAAAACUGGUCACCACUAUUUCAUGUGAAUAGACACGAGGAGCCAUCUUCCUUCUUGUCCCCUUUUUCUGACAUUUCAGGACUUUUUUUUUAUGAUCUCCAGCUUCAUAACAUACUCUUGCAAACUGCUAGGAGGGAUGACUAAAACUACCCACCAGGAAGUUUUGCAAAGUCCAAG